rnacentral:misc_RNA from 1 species
CAGAGUUGUAAAACUCCCAAACCAAUUGUGAACAUACCUUUAACCGUUGCUUCGGCGGGCGGUCUCGGGAAAACCCCCGGGGCCGUCGCCCCUCGCGGGCGCGCCCGCCGGAGAUACUAAACUCUUGACCUUUGUAUGGCCUCUCUGAGUCUCUGUACUUAAAUUAGUCA